UACAGAGGGGGCAAGCGUUAUUCGGAAUUAUUGGGCGUAAAGGGCGCGUAGGCGGCUUGGCAAGUGGAUGGUGAAAUCCCUCGGCUUAACCGAGGAACUGCCGUCCAAACUGCUUCGCUUGAGACCGGGAGAGGUGAGUGGAAUUCCCAGUGUAGCGGUGAAAUGCGUAGAUAUUGGGAGGAACACCAGUGGCGAAGGCGGGUUGCGGGGCUGAUACUGACGCUGAGGCGCGAAAGCCAGGGGAGCGAACGGG
rnacentral:rRNA from 1 species